rnacentral:rRNA from 1 species
GAAUAUUGGGCAAUGGACGGAAGUCUGACCCAGCCAUGCCGCGUGAGUGAUGAAGGCCCUAGGGUUGUAAAGCUCUUUCACCGAUGAAGAUAAUGACGGUAGUCGGAGAAGAAGCCCCGGCUAACUUCGUGCCAGCAGCCGCGGUAAUACGAAGGGGGCUAGCGUUGUUCGGAAUUACUGGGCGUAAAGCGCACGUAGGCGGAUAUUUAAGUCAGGGGUGAAAUCCCGCAGCUCAACUGCGGAACUGCCUUUGAUACUGGGUAUCUUGAGUAUGGAAGAGGUGAGUGGAAUUCCGAGUGUAGAGGUGAAAUUCGUAGAUAUUCGGAGGAACACCAGUGGCGAAGGCGGCUCACUGGUCCAUUACUGACGCUGAGGUGCGAAAGCGUGGGGAGCAAACAG